AACGUGGGAGACAAACGUUAUCCGGAGUUACUGGGCGUAAAGGGCGUGUAGGUGGUUUCGUAAGUCUGGCGUGAAAUUUUUCGGCUUAACCGGGAAAGGUCGUCGGAUACUGCGGGACUGGAGGACGGUAGAGGCGUGUGGAAUUCCGGGUGUAGUGGUGAAAUGCGUAGAGAUCCGGAGGAACACCAGUGGCGAAGGCGACACGCUGGGCCGUACCUGACACUGAUGCGCGACAGCAUGGGGAGCAAACAGG
rnacentral:rRNA from 1 species